UCCCCAUUCUAUCAUUGCUGGCACAGCACAUUCCCUCCAUUGCUCAAUUACUACAUUCACUUUCAUGGUUAACCUCUGUACUCAUCAACAUUACUAUCAUUACCAUCAGCAUCAUCUGUUGCUGCUAUUGCUCUACUACUAUCUCUCCCAGUAUGAAGACAUCACUCUUUCCUUCUUCUCUAUCUCAGUUCAACAACAUGUCUACUGAUACUACAUUUCCCCUAAAUCCAACUCAUCCAAUAGCCAGGGCAUACCCUCAACCUGCAGUCUAUGCCACCCCUACAGCAACACUGCCCAAAUCAUCUCUGGAACAUUCUACCAAUAUGAAUAAAAUGGAAUCUCAAAAUCUGUUACAAUUGUCUACAUGAGGGAACAUGACUGUCCCUUUUGUCCACCUUCCAGAUAUCAGAUGCAUAAUUAAGAGACACAACCAACCAAAAAAUGAUACUCUUAUUUAUCUGCGCUCCAACAAAUUUAACACGAUGAUAUUAUUGCUGUUGGAGCUAUUUCCUUCUCAAGUUGAAAUGAUCAUGAGGGUUAUUUUCAGGAUUCAUCAAGGCAAAUCCUCAGGAAUUUAUAGUUUACAUUAAGAUAAAUUUACUGUUUACAGGAAGUAUCAGCUCCCCAACAAAUUUAACCAACGGGUGACUUCGACCUUCCCUUUAUGGGUUGGUCUCUGCAUAUUGUGAAAACAGGAAUUUAUGCCUUAUUCUUGGACAAAGCAGCAGUAGAAACACUUUCUAAAUUUAUGAAUGAUUUGUUUUCCUCUUUCCUGAUUCAUGUUUCAGUCAACAAAGCACAACAAAAGUGCUUUGGAUAUAGUGUUGAGUAUCUAUACUGGCACUGUUUGAAAUAUCUCUGUUGACAAAAACACCUGUCAUACUAUGAUAAGGUACAUUGUAGCCUUACUUUUCAUCAUC